rnacentral:rRNA from 1 species
ACUCCUACGGGAGGCAGCAGUGGGGAAUCUUGGACAAUGGGGGCAACCCUGAUCCAGCCAUGCCGCGUGAGUGAUGAAGGCCUUAGGGUCGUAAAGCUCUUUCGCCUGUGAUGAUAGUGACAGUAGCAGGUAAAGAAACCCCGGCUAACUCCGUGCCAGCAGCCGCGGUAAUACGGAGGGGGUUAGCGUUGUUCGGAAUUACUGGGGCGUAAAGCGCGCGUAGGCGGAUUAGUCAGUUAGAGGUGAAAUCCCAGGGCUCAACCCUGGAACUGCCUUUAAUACUGCUAGUCUUGAGUUCGAGAGAGGUGAGUGGAAUUCCGAGUGUAGAGGUGAAAUUCGUAGAUAUUCGGAGGAACACCAGUGGCGAAGGCGGCUCACUGGCUCGAUACUGACGCUGAGGUGCGAAAGUGUGGGGAGCAAACAGGAUUAGAUACCCUGGUAGCGAGUAG